rnacentral:tRNA from 1 species
ACUAAUUUGGCAGAAAAAAUUGUAUCAAAUUUAGAAUUUGAAAAUGGUGGUUACCAGUUAGUA